rnacentral:lncRNA from 1 species
CCGGAUUACAUUAGUCGUCUUUAUGAAUUUUCUCUUCUUGCUCCAUUUGGAGAAGAGUUAUAAAAUCCCUAAAUUGUCAACAAUAAAAGCUUAAAAUCUUCCAUAUUCAUUGGUUCACUUGAUCAGUAUUCAUCAAGUGUUUCUGCGCAAGGUAUUUUUGCUUGGCCAGAAGACCAAGAAACUCCUUACGAUUCUCUCAAAUACUGAAGUGGAAAAACCUUAGCUCGGGGCAUCAACAGGUACCUGUACCUUUCUCUUGUAUAUAUAAACAUGGGCUAGGAUCAAUUGUCCUGCCCUGUUUUCUAUUGCAAAUUAUUAUGUAAUACGCGACCUAUUAUAUCAAAGCACUUAGAAUGAUUGUCUUUACUACAUGUUAUUUCUUGAUUCCAUUUUCUGUAUGUUAAGCUAAUUGUGUCACAAUACAAAUAUAAGCAUAUGAAAUGAGAUCACACCUUUUUACAUUCUCUAAAUGACGCUUAAAUCCUUGAUGAUUCCCACUUUCAACACUUAGGUUCCUUUUAUUUUUUAAUGAGAAAUUAUAAUUGCAUCACCUUUAUUUUGCAUGUUCAUCCAAUUACCACAAAAUUUUAAAAUUUUUUCUGCAUUAUUUUUCUUUUUAAAUUUGUAUAAAUUAAUCACUUUUACAUAGGGAUGGCAAAAUAAUCCAGGUCCGGUCCGGAUCCGCAAAGAUCCGGAAAAAUCCGGAUCCAGAGUCUAAGAAUCAUGAUCCGUGCUAUAUUAUUAAUUUAAUAAAUUUGUAUUAAAAAAUAUAUAAGUGAAAAAAAAAAAAAAAAACAAAUCCAGUAACCCUAAACCAUUCACGCCUCCCCUGCUUCCCACCACUCACAUGCGACUGAAAUAAAAAACCACCCCAAAUCCCUAACCGUUGAACGCCGUCCUCCUCGCAAUCACUGUCAUUGAGCGUUGGAUGCCUUGCCUGAGCUGAGCACGCGCUGCUGUCAUCGAACACCGGCUGCCGUACCUCGUCUUGCUCAGUGCAUUUCACUGUCAUCGAACGCCGGCAACCCACUGCAUCAAUGGCUAGCGAAGCGCACCACACACGGCUGCCUUGUCUAUUCUUUAUGUCCUUGGCCGUUGUUUCCAGAAGGGAAUACUCAUCCAAUCUCAAAGAAGGUUGAUUCGCGGCAGUAGAUCUCAAUAUCGAAGGAUAAGGUUGACCGACCAAUACACAAGGUGGGCACACAAAUUUCCAGCAAAUCAAUUUCAGAUUUUCUGUGAGCAAGGCUAUGCUUUUUUGGUGUCGUUUUGUGCUUUCAUGAAUUGCGUUUACAGAACCAUUCAAUCACAUCAUUUGGUCAUAGAGGUGUCCCUCUCAUAAUUGUUAUCUAUCAUCAUCUUCCAUUAUUAUUAUUAUUAUUUUACCUUUUAAAUUAAUUAAUGUCAUUAUGCAUAAAUGUAGUUUGUCAUCUUCCUUAAUUACUUUAAUUUCAGAUUUACUUUUGGUUUAAUUACUUAAAUUAAAUGCAUUAAUUUUAUUUGUGAAAUUUAAUGGUGGUGUAAUUGAAUUUAUGUUAUUUUUUAUGUUUGAUUAAUGUUGUGAUAUUUUUAUUUGUAGAUUUGUGAUGUUAUUGUAUGUAAUUCAUGUUGAAUUGUUAACUAUUGGAUUAUAAUUGAAUUUUAUUUAAUAUUAUUAUUUAAAUUGUUGAAUUUUUAAAUUAUAUUUUAAAUUAUUUAAUUUUAAUUUUUCCUAAUUCGAAUAUCCGGAAUAUCCGCCCGCAUCCGUUGUGGAUAUUACUCGCAUCCGGAUCCGCAUAAUUUUUUGCUGAUCCGGAUCCGGGUUCGGAUUUUGCCAACCCGACUUUUGCACUAACACCGUUAAAUAAUUUAAAGAAAAUAACACUUUUUCCCCUAAAAAAUUAAAAGUCCAUUUUAUCUUAUAAAAGUUUUGAAAAAAACAAUAUAAUUAUAAAAAACCCCUAAUUUUAAUAAAAUAAUAAAUCCCAAAUAGAGGUACUCAGCUGAUUUUUAUUAAAUUUAGAUUUUGAAAAAUUUUAAUAAUUAUUUUAUUAAAAAAUUAUAAUUUUGCAAAUUUUUUAUAAUUUGAAGCUUUAUAAAAUUUGCAAAAUUCAUUUUUAGCAAAACCUUUUCACAUCAUUAAUUUGAAGCUCUUGUGCGAUCGAUGGGAAUCACUUUCAAUUUCCUUCCGACUUCUUUGGCUUUUAGAUUCUUUUUAGUAUACAGAAUUUGUUACAUAUAUUUCUUUUGUUUAUUUUCUUCUAUCAUUAUCUUGGGGAAAAAAAUUAUUAUGUAAGUAUCAAAAUAUUGAAAAUAAAUGUCCGGAAAUAAUCAGUAACUAGAAAAUAAUGAAGAGGUCUUACUAAAUUAUGGUCACCUCCGAAAAUCCUAUGUUGAUCGAUGAAGAUGAUGAUCAUGAUGCAUUAGUUCAAUUAAAAAUACAUAUAAAUUUAUUUAAAUAGGGCUAAAAUUGUAAAUUUGCGAGAAUUUUCUAUCCAUACUAGUAGCUCCUGUCGAGGAAAUUUUGCAAUCAUGGAUUGGGUCAAGCCUGUGAAUACGGGACCUUUAGGAUUUUACUUGCAGGUGUGUCAUAUUUAUCUUAUUUUAUUAUUUUGAUAAAAUUUAAUUUAAUUUAUUAUUUCUCCAUGUUUUAAACUUUUAAUUGUUUGUAUUUGUUCUCAUUAAGUUUAAAAGGCAAAAUUUAUUGACAACUGCUCGUUUGAAUACUUUCUUAUAAGAUUAAUCCCUGGAAUUUGUUAAAUUACGAACGUCAGUGAUGCAGCAUGGGCCCAAAUAGUGGAAUAGAGUCGGUGUGUGGGCCCAAAUAAUGAAAUAGAGUAGGUGUGUUCUGUUAGUGAAUUUUAGUUGGUGUGUCUGUUGAGUGAAAUGUAAUAAGUAUAGCUGAUUAGAAGUACUAUAAAUAUGUGUUAAAUUCAUUGUAAAAAUCAUCUAAUUUUCAAUCAAAAUUUGAGUUUUUUCGUUUCAAAUUCUAAUUCAGAAUUUGCUAUACCUUCUUCUCUCUAUGAGAGUGCAAGUUAGAGCAAAAUCUAGUAAACCGCUGCGUCAGUCAGCUACCAUUUUAAGCACGUGCAAUUGUUUUAAAAAGAAUAACUUGUGAUUUUUUUUUUGGCAUUGUACGUGGACAUAAUUCUUUGCUUAUGUGAAACUAAUGUACAUCGUACAUAUUUAUUUCGCGAAUAAAAGCUAUUUGCACUUACUUUUUAAUUUGCAGGAACCAACAAUCGGAUCAAAAUCUCCGACUAGCUCUCCCUUAAAAAGGUACUCAAAG